rnacentral:rRNA from 1 species
GACGAACGCUGGCGGCGUGCUUAACACAUGCAAGUCGAGCGGUAAGGCCCUUUCGGGGGUACGACGAGCGGCGAACGGGUGAGUAACACGUGGGUGACCUGCCCUCAGCUCUGGGAUAAGCCUCGGGAAACUGGGUCUAAUACUGGAUAUGACUCCACGGUGCAUGUCGUGGGGUGGAAAGCCUUGUGCGGCUGAGGAUGGGCCCGCGGCCUAUCAGCUUGUUGGUGGGGUGANGGCCUACCAAGGCGACGACGGGUAGCCGGCCUGAGAGGGCGACCGGCCACACUGGGACUGAGACACGGCCCAGACUCCUACGGGAGGCAGCAGUGGGGAAUCUUGCGCAAUGGGCGAAAGCCUGACGCAGCGACGCCGCGUGAGGGAUGACGGCC